CAUUCGGUCAGCUAAAUCGUCGACAAACAGUACGUACAACAACUCUUGAAAAAUAAUUCAUUCAACCAUGGCCAAGAUCAGUAUGUUCCUCUGAUUGUUUUUAUUCGUCUUGAUUGCUAUGCCAACUUCUUCUUCUUCGAGCAGAGUGCUACUCCAGGAACUAGCACCUUUCUGCCCAGAAUAUAACCCAAGAUUGCGAUGCGCUACGCCCUGGGACCCAGAAUUUGCAUGCCCAGCAGGUCAGCAUCCAUGCAGGAGCAACUGUGGAAGAUCAAGAUGUCUCCCAAAUUAUUAACUACCUAAGUACGCUGAUUGGAGCUAAUUUCAUACAUAUGUAGCUUUAUAAUUGUAGUUUGUGUGGUAUUGUGUUUUCUUCUCUUAAUUUGAUAUAGGGUACUCGGCUAUAUUUAUAUUCGUAUCUACGCAUGUUUGUAUUUUAUUCAAUAAAUUUCAAGUGGCUUUCCUGUUCUGUUGCGUUAA